AUAUAUAUAAUAGUAUAGCCGCCCGGCUAUACAAUUUUUUGAAUUUUUUUUAAAAAAAUAGUAUAGCCGGGCGGCUAUACUCGUUUUUGC
rnacentral:miRNA from 1 species